rnacentral:rRNA from 1 species
ACCCGGGUUGCGGACAGUGUCUGGUGGGUAGUUUGACUGGGGCGGUCUCCUCCUAAAGAGUAACGGAGGAGCACGAAGGUUAGCUAAUCCUGGUCGGACAUCAGGAGGUUAGUGCAAAGGCAUAAGCUAGCUUGACUGCGAGAGUGACGGCUCGAGCAGGUGCGAAAGCAGGUCUUAGUGAUCCGGUGGUUCUGAAUGGAAGGGCCAUCGCUCAACGGAUAAAAGGUACUCCGGGGAUAACAGGCUGAUACCGCCCAAGAGUUCAUAUCGACGGCGGUGUUUGGCACCUCGAUGUCGGCUCAUCACAUCCUGGGGCUGAAGUAGGUCCCAAGGGUAUGGCUGUUCGCCAUUUAAAGUGGUACGCGAGCUGGGUUUAGAACGUCGUGAGACAGUUCGGUCCCUAUCUGCCGUGGGCGCUGGAGAAUUGAGGGGGGCUGCUCCUAGUACGAGAGGACCGGAGUGGACGCAUCACUGGUGUUCGGGUUGUCAUGCCAAUGGCAUUGCCCGGUAGCUAAAUGCGGAAGAGAUAAGUGCUGAAAGCAUCUAAGCACGAAACUUGC